UCCUCUUCUUCUUGUCUCUCUCAUCUCCUCUAUUCUCUCUCUUUCUCACCGCCUCACCACCACCAUGGCCCCCGACUAAGACGAGUCUCCUCUUCCUCCCUAGACAACGUCGUUGACGAGGACGACGAUGAAGUCAUCAACUCUGCCUCUCAUUCCUCCAUCUCUAAUUCCCUCCCCAUCGCCAUAGCCACCGCUCCUCCCACCUUCACCGCCUCUCUUUCCUCAAUACCCAUCAAAGACUCUCCUUUUCCUCAACACCCAACUCGGUCCUUCAACUCGUUCUGGCCAACCAGUGGUCCGCCGAGCUAGAGAGCGAGUUGUCCGAGUCACACCCAUCAUACCAAAGGCUUCCAAUUUCUUCAAUUGGGUAUGUGAGAAAAAUGGGUUUAGGCCAAGCUCUUCGAUUUUUAGCCUCUGCAGCUGCAUUUUUGCUCCACCGCCGGCGCCGAAAGCUUGACCCCUCCCCCCCCUUGUCCGACAACUCUUCUUCUUCUCAUAGCCGCUUCCAUCUCCGACGAACAAUUCGCUUUCUCCUUCCUCUCUCAGGUUAGGGAUCCUCGUGCUACUCACAAUUGCUGGGCAUACAAGGUGGGGGAUCAGUACCGGUCUAAUGAUGAUGGUGAGCCAUCUGGAAUGGCUGGGAAGCCCAUUCAUUAUGUUAUUGAGUCUUCAAUAAUUGAUAGAUCGAGUAAUGGUCGUCGUCAUCCGUUUGAGGAGUUUCAAGCAGGUUUUUGUGGAUUUUGGGCGGUGGGUUUGGUUUGGAAUUUUGGUUGGAGUUGAUUUCAGGUGGUGGAUGUUGAAGAUUUAGCUCCAAAGUACUUUGUUUUUUAUGGAGAGGGACGAAUCCACACCGAAGACGAGAAAGCAGUCGCUGGUGGGAUGAACGGAGGAGCUGACGUCACAGCCUGAAUUGGAGGAGAGUCUUUGGGGCUGCCCAUCGGAGAUGAGAGAGACAAGAAGAAGAGGAUCGAAGGAAGAAGAAGAAAUGAGUUUUUUUUUUUU